rnacentral:rRNA from 1 species
GACGAACGCUGGCGGCGUGCCUAAUACAUGCAAGUUGAGCGCUGAAGGUUGGUACUUGUACCAACUGGAUGAGCAGCGAACGGGUGAGUAACGCGUGGGGAAUCUGCCUUUGGGCGGGGGACAACAUUUGGAAACGAAUGCUAAUACCGCAUAAAAACUUUAAACACAAGUUUUAAGUUUGAAAGAUGCAAUUGCAUCACUCAAAGAUGAUCCCGCGUUGUAUUAGCUAGUUGGUGAGGUAAAGGCUCACCAAGGCGAUGAUACAUAGCCGACCUGAGAGGGGGAUCGGCCACAGUGGGACUGAGACACGGCCCAAACUCCUACGGGAGGCAGCAGUAGGGAAUCUUCGGCAAUGGACGAAAGUCUGACCGAGCAACGCCGCGUGAGUGAAGAAGGUUUUCGGAUCGUAAAACUCUGUUGGUAGAGAAGAACGUUGGUGAGAGUGGAAAGCUCAUCAAGUGACGGUAACUACCCAGAAAGGGACGGCUAACUACGUG